rnacentral:tRNA from 1 species
GCUCCGGUUGGGGAAAUGGUUAGACCCACCUCGCUUUCAACGAGGAUUUUGUCGGUUCGAGUCCGAUCCGGAGUACCA